AGUGAACGCUGGCGGCAGGCCUAACACAUGCAAGUCGAACGGGCUCUUCGGAGCUAGUGGCAGACGGGUGAGUAACGCGUGGGAACGUACCCUUUGCUACGGAAUAGCUCCGGGAAACUGGAAUUAAUACCGUAUGUGCCCUACGGGGGAAAGAUUUAUCGGCAAAGGAUCGGCCCGCGUUGGAUUAGCUAGUUGGUGGGGUAAAGGCCUACCAAGGCGACGAUCCAUAGCUGGUCUGAGAGGAUGAUCAGCCACAUUGGGACUGAGACACGGCCCAAACUCCUACGGGAGGCAGCAGUGGGGAAUAUUGGACAAUGGGCGCAAGCCUGAUCCAGCCAUGCCGCGUGAGUGAUGAAGGUCUUAGGAUUGUAAAGCUCUUUCACCGAUGAAGAUAAUGACGGUAGUCGGAGAAGAAGCCCCGGCUAACUUCGUGCCAGCCGCCGCCGUAAGAC
rnacentral:rRNA from 1 species